rnacentral:rRNA from 1 species
UAGUAACGGCGAGUGAAGAGGGAAAAGCUCAAAUUUUGAAUCUGGUGUCUUUGACUCCCGAGUUGUAAUCUAGAGAAGUGUUUUCCGUGUCGGACCACGUAUAAGUUCCCUGGAACGGGGCGUCAUAGAGGGUGAGAAUCCCGUAUAUGCCGUGGACUACCGAUGCUCUGUGAUACACUCUCAACGAGUCGAGUUGUUUGGGAAUGCAGCUCAAAAUGGGUGGUAAAUUCCAUCCAAAGCUAAAUAUUGGCGAGAGACCGAUAGCGAACAAGUACCGUGAGGGAAAGAUGAAAAGCACUUUGGAAAGAGAGUGAAACAGUACGUGAAAUUGUUGAAAGGGAAGCGUUUGAAGUCAGUCACGUUUGUUGGGAUUCAGCCUGGCUUCUGCCUGGUGUAUUUCCUAGCCGAUGGGUCAGCAUCAGUUUCGACCAAGGGAAAAAGACAUUUGGAAUGUGGCUGUCUUCGGGCAGUGUUAUAGCCUUGUGUUGUAUGCCUUGGUUGGGACUGAGGAAUGCAGCGCGCCUUAUGGCCGGGGGUCGCUCCUCUCGACACGCGCUUAGGA